CCCAAUUCUUCUAUCCACUCAGUAUUUCUCUUUCAGUUUCUCUAUUCCAGUUUCUCCUCCCCUUCUUGUAUGUAUCUUUGCAGAGAUUCAGAGAUGGAUGGGUAUGAAUUCAUUAAAUCCAAUCCAGACGGUAUAGGUGGUGACGACAAUGAUGUGGUUAAUGUAAUUUUGUGAUAUGGUGGGGGAAUCAGCGACCAGUCAGGCGAUGAACCCAGUAAAUGAGACCCCAGUAAAUGGAGAUCGUGUCAUCCGCAAAGGAGCUGGGCCAAAUUCUGGUGGUCAUGUACAAAUGUGAAAAGGUGGGGGUGGAGGAUUUUGUGAUAAACAUGCUCGUAUGAUUCCAUCUUUACACCGGUUUGUUUUUUGGGCUACUUGACGCACUUAUGGUGUACAUAAUGCGUCGACUUUUUGGAAUAUCUGGCUGGGUUUUUUGGAAUAUUUGGCUGCUGAUUAAUGUAAGAAGCUCAAUUUUUUGUAUCUACCUGGAUGUGAGCUUAACUGAUGUCAGUCGUAUAUAUACUAACGUCUACAGAAAGAUCAAAUGGGGAUUAGCAUACUUGUGUAGGUCGCUAGUCGGCAGUAAGAGUUAACAGUUUAUCAAUUAUGUUUAAGGAUGUUUCUCAGAUGUUUAAGCCUGUGUGUUCACAGAUGUUUAAGGAUGUGAAGCAUCAUACAACUAAUUGUUGAGGUUUUCCUUUUAACUUGUACAAGAAACUUAAAGAUAAUUUUCAGUUGGUUUCGAUUUCACGAGUACAGUUUGUAAUUUCACAGUGUCUUCUCGUUGCACAUGUCCAAACUUUGAUCCUUACUAUUAAUUUUUAAUGUGUAUUUUUGGUA